GCUGGGUGUUGUGGCGUGUGCCUGUAAUCCCAGCCUCUUGGGUGGCUGAGGCCGGAAGAUUCUAAAUUCAAAGCCAGCCUCAA
rnacentral:sRNA from 1 species